GAUGAACGCUGGCGGCGUGCCUAAUACAUGCAAGUCGAGCGAACGGAUGAGAAGCUUGCUUCUCUGAUGUUAGCGGCGGACGGGUGAGUAACACGUGGAUAACCUACCUAUAAGACUGGGAUAACUUCGGGAAACCGGAGCUAAUACCGGAUAAUAUUUUGAACCGCAUGGUUCAAAAGUGAAAGACGGUCUUGCUGUCACUUAUAGAUGGAUCCGCGCUGCAUUAGCUAGUUGUUAAGGUAACGGCUUACCAAGGCAACGAUGCAUAGCCGACCUGAGAGGGUGAUCGGCCACACUGGAACUGAGACACGGUCCAGACUCCUACGGGAGGCAGCAGUAGGGAAUCUUCCGCAAUGGGCGAAAGCCUGACGGAGCAACGCCGCGUGAGUGAUGAAGGUCUUCGGAUCGUAAAACUCUGUUAUUAGGGAAGAACAUAUGUGUAAGUAACUGUGCACAUCUUGACGGUACCUAAUCAGAAAGCCACGGCUAACUACGUG
rnacentral:rRNA from 1 species